AUGCAAGUCGAGCGAUAUUUUAGGUAGAGAGGUUGAAGCCGUAAGGUGGAUGCCAAUUUGCUUAAUUUAUAGCGGCAGACGGGUGAGUAACGCGUGAGUAAUCUAACUUUAAGACUGGUAUAGCCUCAAGAAAUUGAGAGUAAUUCCGGUUGUGACCCCGGUAUCGCAUGGUAUCAGGGUGAAAGGUGGGGAUCGUAAGACCUACCGCUUGAAGAGGAGCUCGCGCCCUAUCAGCUAGUUGGUGAGGUAACGGCCCACCAAGGCUUUUGACGGGUAGCUGGUCUGAGAGGAUGGUCAGCCACAUUGGGACUGAGACACUGCCCAGACUCCUACGGGAGGCUGCAGUCGAGAAUCUUUAGCAAUGGACGAAAGUCUGACUAUGCGACGCCGCGUGAGGGAUGAAGAUCUUCGGGUUGUAAACCUCUUUCGACAGGGAAGAAAAUACGUUAUUUAAUAGAUAACGGACUGACGGUACCUGGAGAAGAAGCCACGGCCAACUCCGUGCCAGCAGCCGCGGUAAUACGGAGGUGGCGAGCGUUACUCGGAUUCAUUGGGUGUAAAGGGCAGGUAGGCGGUUUCGAAAGUCGAAUGUGAAAUCUUCUCGCUUAACGGGAAAACUGCAUUCGAAACUUCGAGGCUUGAGGCUGGAAGAGGAGAAUGGAAUUCCCGGUGUAAGGGUGAAAUCUGUAGAUAUCGGGAGGAACACCAGUAGCGAAAGCGAUUCUCUGGUCCAGUUCUGACGUUGAACUGCGAAAGCUAGGGGAGCAAACAGGAUUAGAUACCCUGGUAGUCCUAGCCGUAAACGAUGAGCACUAGGUGUUGGUUCUUUAGGGAUCAGCGCCGCAGCUAACGCAUUAAGUGCUCCACCUGGGGACUACGACCGCAAGGUUAAAACUCAAAGGAAUUGACGGGGGCCCGCACAAGCGGUGGAACAUGUGGUUUAAUUCGACGCUACGCGAGGAACCUCACCAGGGCUUGACAUGUAGGAAGUAGUGAACCGAAAGGGGAACAACCUGUCAAGUCAGGAGCCUGCACAGGUGCUGCAUGGCUGUCGUCAGCUCGUGCCGUGAGGUGUUAGGUUAAGUCCUUCAACGAGCGCAACCAUUAUUUUUAGUUGCCACUUUUUGAUGCCGUAAGGUGUCAGAGAAGCACUCUAAAGAGACUGCCUGCGAUAAGCAGGAGGAAGGUGGAGAUGACGUCAAGUCAGUACGGCCUUUAUGCCCUGGGCUACACACGUGUUACAAUGGUCAGGACAGAGGGUUGCCAACCCGCGAGGGGGAGCCAAUCCCAGAAAACUGACCUCAGUUCAGAUUGAAGUCUGCAAUUCGACUUCAUGAAGCCGGAAUCGCUAGUAAUGGCGGAUCAGCUACGCCGCCGUGAAUACGUUCCCGGGCCUUGUACACACCGCCCGUCAAGCGAUGGAAGCUGGGAGUACCCGAAGUCCUAUGUAGAUAGGCCGAAGGUAAAACUGGUGACUGGCGCUAAGUCGUAACAAGGUA
rnacentral:rRNA from 1 species